rnacentral:rRNA from 1 species
UACGUAGGGUGCAAGCGUUGUCCGGAAUUAUUGGGCGUAAAGAGCUCGUAGGCGGUCUGUCGCGUCUGCUGUGAAAACUCAGGGCUUAACCCUGAGCUUGCAGUGGGUACGGGCAGACUAGAGUGCGGUAGGGGAGACUGGAAUUCCUGGUGUAGCGGUGAAAUGCGCAGAUAUCAGGAGGAACACCGGUGGCGAAGGCGGGUCUCUGGGCCGAAACUGACGCUGGAGGAGCGAAAGCGUGGGGAGCGAACAGG